UCGUUCCAAUUUUAUCGAAUUCGAUAAAAUUGGAACGAUAAAGAGAAGAUUAGUAUGG
rnacentral:snRNA from 1 species